GCGAGGCAGAGCAAAACUCUAAAAAUGGUCCCAGUUCGGAUCGUAGGCUGCAACCCGCCUGCGUGAAGUUGGAAUUGCUAGUAAUCGCGGAUCAGCAUGCCGCGGUGAAUACGUUCCCGGGCCUUGUACACACCGCCCGUCACACCAUGGGAGCCGGUAAUGCCCGAAGUCAGUAGCCUAACCGCAAGGAGGGCGCUGCCGAAGGUAGGAUUGGCGACUGGGGUGAAGUCGUAACAAGGUAUC
rnacentral:rRNA from 1 species